rnacentral:rRNA from 1 species
CCUACGGGUGGCAGCAGUAGGGAAUAUUGGGCAAUGGACGAAAGUCUGACCCAGCCAUGCCGCGUGCAGGAAGAAGGCCUUCUGGGUUGUAAACUGCUUUUGAUCGGGAACAAAGAGCCCUUGCGAGGGAAGUUGAGUGUACCGAUAGAAUAAGCACCGGCUAACUCCGUGCCAGCAGCCGCGGUAAUACGGAGGGUGCAAGCGUUGUCCGGAUUUAUUGGGUUUAAAGGGUGCGUAGGCGGCUUUUUAAGUCAGUGGUGAAAUCCUGCAGCUUAACUGCAGAACUGCCGUUGAUACUGGAAAGCUUGAGUACAGACGAGGUAGGCGGAAUUUAUGGUGUAGCGGUGAAAUGCAUAGAUACCAUAAAGAACACCGAUUGCGAAGGCAGCUUACUAGACUGUAACUGACGCUGAGGCACGAAAGCGUGGGGAUCAAACAGG